CCUUCUGCGCAGGCUCCGUGCCUGCCGCGCCGCGUUCCCGCCUUCCUUCUGCGCAGACUCCGUGCCUGCCGCGCCCCGUUCCCGCCUUCCUUCUGCGCAGGCUCCGUGCCUGCCGCGCCCCGUUCCCGCCUUCCUUCCGCGCAGGCUCCGUGCCUGCCGCGCCCUGUUCCCGCCUUCCUUCUGCGCACGCUCCGUGCCUGCCCGCCGUAGGCCAGCAGGUCCGGGAGCUCCUUGGAGCCUGAGAUGCCUCCUCCCGGGUGCAUGGAUAGCGGAGAGGGACCUAGCGUUGCACCUGCUCCAGGCUCCAGAGCUGGAGCUCACCGUGGCUCCUCCGCCUUUGAACUGAGAUCGCGCUGCUGUACUCCAGCCUGGGUGACAGAGGGAAACCCUGUCUCAAAAAGAGAAAGAAGAAAGGAAGGGAGGGACGGACUUCAGCACCUCCAGUCUCGAGGCUGCCUUCAGUCAGUGGUGGAGACUCGGCGGCAUUUCUCUGUCACCAAGGGCAGCGGCAGGAAGCCAUUCACAUGAACAUCAGCAGACCAAUAUUCACAGAGGUGUGGGCAGGGCCAAGGGGGGCCCAGAGAUAGGACACGGCACCUCCCCACAGUGCAGGGCCCCUAGCCCCCAGGGGCCACCAGGUGCAGGCAGACCAGUAGCUGGGAGGACACUAGCACAGGGUGUCGAGAGACUCAGUGGCCCCCGCACAUGUGGCUCCCCUGCAGGAAGAGAGCAGGACAUGUGGGGCACCAUCAGACCACCUGCUGGCCAGCCCACCUGCCACCCCAAAGCGACCAGGGAGCUCUGGUGUGCAGCCCACGAAGCACAGAGGCUCAGGCCUCUCCCGUCCCUGAGACACAGCAGCACAGAAGUCAGGCCACAGGACACCCUCCAACAGCCUCAGAUGCUCAAAGAGAAGGACGAGUUGCAGCUCUCUCCUUCAAAUCAAAAGUCAGAAAUGGCUCAGCCUGCUGAGAAGGGCGUGUCAGAAUCUGGACAGGCUGAAAGCCAGGCCACCGUGCAAAAGAGUUAGCCAAGUUUUGAAUAUAAAGGAAAACUUGAGGGAAAUUGUAAGUGCCACUCCAGUGAACACCUGCAUGAGACAGAAGCGGAAAGCCUUGCUGCCAACAUGGAAGAAGCUGCAGGGGUCAGGAUAGGAGAUCAAACCGACCAUAGCGUCUCCUCAAGCCAAAGCCUGAUCCAGACCAAGGCUCCAGCUCUCUUCUAUUCUGUGAAGGCUGAGAGAGGCCAGGAAGCUCCAGAAGAAAAGCUGGAAGUUGGUGGAGGUGGCUUCAUGAGGUUCAGGGGCAGAAGCCGCCUCUACCACACAGAAGCACCAGUGAGGCAGCAGGUGCUGGAGGAGCAGCCGAGGCAGGUUCUUUGGAUGAUCCGGCUGAGAUCAUGGGUGAAGGUGACUAAAAUCACAGUGGAUUUUCAGUGUAGACCAAACAGCAGCAACAGGGCACCAGCCGUCUCUGGAACUUUCUGGAACAGGACGUGCACCCUGGGUCCUGUUGCCCCUGUUGUACCAAUGAGAACACAGGCCACAGAGUGGGCAGGCGUGGCCUGGGUCAGAACCAGCCCCAUGGCUGGGCCUGUGGUGCACAAGCUUCAUGGCGGGCUGCUGGGGUCUUCGGCUCACUGCUGGGGUCUUUGGCUCAGCACAGCCCUGGUGGCCCCAGGCACUGUGCCAGCAUCACCCCAGGGUCAACUCAUGACCCACGGGCGCCCUGAUAUGUGAGGGGGUCUCACUUGCACACCUGUGGGCACUCUCUGCAGUCCCUUCUGCCGUCCCUGUCCUUCCCUGGGCUCUGGCCACCCUGGGAGGGCACCUGUUCCAAUCUCCAGGGACUGGUGUGGCCUCAGAGAUAUUGUCGCCCAGUGACUCUCAAGUCAGAAGCCACAGGCCAACACCCUGCUCGACCGGCCGGCAGCAGCCUGGGUCUGACUCCAGCCAUGUCCCUGCCCUGGGAUGUCUGCCUCUCACGCCUCUGCCUGGCCAGGAUGACGGGGGAAGUUCAGGAAUCCCUCCAGCACCUAGCCAGGGUGUCGGGGAGACCCUCUGCAGCCACAGGAGCCCAGGGGCUCCCACCCCAGCCUGCCACACCCUCGGGGGAAGCCAGGACCCCAAGGAAGCAUCUGCCCUGCUUCAGCAAGUACCCAGCAUCCGAUCACUGCUCACAGCCUCCACCCCGGCCUCCACCCUGGCCUCCACCCCGGCCUCCAUCCUGGCCUCGCUGGUCCAAGCCGCCGCUGCCUCAGGCCUGGACUGGUGCCGUAGCCAGCAGCUGCCAAGCUCGCCCUCUGUGGGACAGCCUACAUGACCGUGGCGCCCCUGCUGUGCUGUACUGUGCACUCCCACGCUUGAAUGUGUCAGGGGAGCGUGGCUCAUCUUGAAUGAAUAGAAAAUGGCAAAAGCAGUGGGGUGUCACUUCUAAAUCCGGUCACAGAAAAACCCCGUGUCGUCUUGCUCACCCCCUUGCUCGCUCUCCCACUGUCUGGUGAAGCCAGAGGCUGUGCCGAAACCUGCACAUGGGGCAAGAGGCGGAGGGUGACGUCCAGCUAAAAGCUGGCAAGGAACUGAGGCCCCAGAGACCAGAAUCCUGCCCAGAGCCAUAUACCCGAGCUUGGAGGCCAGUUCUUCCCCAGUGGAGCUGUCAGAUGAGACCCCAACCCAGCUGGGCCUGUGAGAUUCUGAGCCUGGGGGUCCAGCCAAGCCACACCAAUCAUGGAUACGUGGAACACUGGAGCUGAUAAGUGCGUGCUGUUUUCAGCUGCCACGUGUGGACCAUUUGUGAGGCAGGAGGAAGCAGAUGCCACAGGCCCACCCUGCAGUCUCCCCCACAGCCAGCGUGACUGUUAAAACCCAGAUCCGCCCACAGCACUUCCUGCUCAUGGCUCCUAGCAGCUCCCCCAUCAGGCUCCAAGCCUUUCAGCAGCCCCAGGCCCUGCAUGGUCACCUUCCCACCAACUGCUCCCCAGGCCCUGCA